UACAGAGGUCCCGAGCGUUGUUCGGAGUUACUGGGCGUAAAGCGUGCGUAGGCGGUUUUGCAAGUCUGGUGUGAAAUCUCCCGGCUCAACUGGGAGGGUGCGCCGGAAACUGCAAGGCUGGAGUAUGGGAGAGGUAGGCGGAAUUCCUGGUGUAGCGGUGAAAUGCGUAGAUAUCAGGAGGAACACCUGUGGUGUAGACGGCUUACUGGACCAUGACUGACGCUGAUGUACGAAAGCGUGGGGAGCAAACAGG
rnacentral:rRNA from 1 species